rnacentral:rRNA from 1 species
UAUGUAGGGGGCAAGCGUUGUCCGGAUUUAUUGGGCGUAAAGAGCGUGUAGGCGGCUUGACAGGUCUGCUGUGAAAACUCGAGGCUCAACCUCGAGAUGUCGGCGGAAACCGUCUGGCUAGAGUCCGGAAGAGGAGAGUGGAAUUCCUGGUGUAGCGGUGAAAUGCGCAGAUAUCAGGAAGAACACCUAUGGCGAAGGCAGCUCUCUGGGACGGUACUGACGCUGAGACGCGAAAGCGUGGGGAGCGAACAGG